GAAAAAAAGCUUGAGAGGAAAUGAUUAAGCCUUGAUUGUACUAAAUGAAUAAGUGACAGCUAACUAUGUGCCAGCAGCUGCGGUAAAACAUAGGUCACGAGCAUUAUCCGGAUUUAUUGGGCGUAAAGGAAGCGUAGGCGGACAAAUUGAUCUAUUGUUAAAGGCACUUGCUCAACGAGUUGUUUGUGAUAGAUAUCGUUUGUCUAGAAUUAGUUAGGAGAUACUGGAAUUCAAUGUGUAGCGGUGGAAUGCGUAGAUAUAUUGAGGAACACCAGAGGCUAAGGCGAGUAUCUAGGACAUAAUUGACGCUGAGGCUUGAAAGCGUGGGGAGCAAAUGGGAUUAGAUACCCCAGUAGUCCACGCCGUAAACGAUGGGUAUUAGGUAUUUGGUUUAGGACUGAGUGCUGUAGCUAACGCGUUAAAUACCCCGCCUGGGUAGUAUAUAUGCAAAUAUGAAACUCAAAGAAAUUGACGGGGAC
rnacentral:rRNA from 1 species